GAUCCGGUAUUUCAGUCCGAUAUGAGAGAACAGUGGCAUAGUAUCUUAAUGUCAGGUGGAUCUGGACUGGUAAGCUACCGUUGCGAAGGCAUUGCCCAGGAUCUUUCGUUAUCCAGGACGGAGAUAGGGGAUCAGAGACAUCAGAUACGUUUCGUAGUCCAAUCUUUGACUAUGCCGACUAGGGAUGAUGGAACAUCACCAUUUCAGUACGUUAUGAGGAAUCGAAGUCCUUGGGUUCUGGGGGGAGUAUGGUCCGCCAAGACUGAGACCUUAAAGAAAUUGACGGAGGGCACCCACCCAGGAGUUGGAGCUGCGGCUUAAUUUGACUCACACGGGGAGACUUAGCCGGGUCCAGACAUAGUAAGGAUUGACAGAUUGAUAGCUCUUUCCUGAUACUAUGGGUGGUGGUGCAUGGCCCGUUCUUAGUUGGUGGAGUGAUUUGUCAGGUUGUUCCUUUUUCUUCUUUUUCCUUAUCCUGCUAACUAGAUAUUUUCAUUUUAUGAAUAUAUCUUCUUAGAGGGACUAUAUGCUUUAAGUAUAUGGAAGUUUGAGGCAAUAACAGGUCUGUGAUGCCCUUAUAUGUCCUGGGACUGCACGCGUGCUACACUGAUAUAUACAACAAGUGCCUAGCUAGAUACAGUAUGGCAAUCUCGAAUAUAUAUCGUGAUGGGGAUAGAUCUUUGCAAUUAUAGAUCUUGAACGAGGAAUUCCUAGUAAGUGCAAGUCAUCAUCUUGCAUUGAUUAUGUCCCUGCCCUUUGUACACACCGCCCGUCGCUCCUACCGAUACCGGGUGAUCCGGUGAACCUGUUGGACCCUUUUGGGAAAAAUAAGUAAAUCAUAUCACCUAGAGGAAGGAGAAGUCGUAACAAGGUUUCCUUUUGAACCUCAGAAGGACAUAAUCGGAUCCCGGCCCCUUUCUUUCCA
rnacentral:rRNA from 1 species